rnacentral:rRNA from 1 species
UGGCGGCAGGCCUAACACAUGCAAGUCGAGCGGUAGCACAGAGAGCUUGCUCUCGGGUGACGAGCGGCGGACGGGUGAGUAAUGUCUGGGAAACUGCCUGAUGGAGGGGGAUAACUACUGGAAACGGUAGCUAAUACCGCAUAACGUCGCAAGACCAAAGUGGGGGACCUUCGGGCCUCAUGCCAUCAGAUGUGCCCAGAUGGGAUUAGCUAGUAGGUGGGGUAACGGCUCACCUAGGCGACGAUCCCUAGCUGGUCUGAGAGGAUGACCAGCCACACUGGAACUGAGACACGGUCCAGACUCCUACGGGAGGCAGCAGUGGGGAAUAUUGCACAAUGGGCGCAAGCCUGAUGCAGCCAUGCCGCGUGUGUGAAGAAGGCCUUCGGGUUGUAAAGCACUUUCAGCGGGGAGGAAGGCGUUAAGGUUAAUAACCUUGGCGAUUGACGUUACCCGCAGAAGAAGCACCGGCUAACUCCGUGCCAGCAGCCGCGGUAAUACGGAGGGUGCAAGCGUUAAUCGGAAUUACUGGGCGUAAAGCGCACGCAGGCGGUCUGUCAAGUCGGAUGUGAAAUCCCCGGGCUCAACCUGGGAACUGCAUUCGAAACUGGCAGGCUGGAGUCUUGUAGAGGGGGGUAGAAUUCCAGGUGUAGCGGUGAAAUGCGUAGAGAUCUGGAGGAAUACCGGUGGCGAAGGCGGCCCCCUGGACAAAGACUGACGCUCAGGUGCGAAAGCGUGGGGAGCAAACAGGAUUAGAUACCCUGGUAGUCCACGCCGUAAACGAUGUCGAUUUGGAGGUUGUGCCCUUGAGGCGUGGCUUCCGGAGCUAACGCGUUAAAUCGACCGCCUGGGGAGUACGGCCGCAAGGUUAAAACUCAAAUGAAUUGACGGGGGCCCGCACAAGCGGUGGAGCAUGUGGUCUAAUUCGAUGCAACGCGAAGAACCUUACCUGGUCUUGACAUCCACAGAACUUUCCAGAGAUGGAUUGGUGCCUUCGGGAACUGUGAGACAGGUGCUGCAUGGCUGUCGUCAGCUCGUGUUGUGAAAUGUUGGGUUAAGUCCCGCAACGAGCGCAACCCUUAUCCUUUGUUGCCAGCGGUUAGGCCGGGAACUCAAAGGAGACUGCCAGUGAUAAACUGGAGGAAGGUGGGGAUGACGUCAAGUCAUCAUGGCCCUUACGACCAGGGCUACACACGUGCUACAAUGGCAUAUACAAAGAGAAGCGACCUCGCGAGAGCAAGCGGACCUCAUAAAGUAUGUCGUAGUCCGGAUUGGAGUCUGCAACUCGACUCCAUGAAGUCGGAAUCGCUAGUAAUCGUAGAUCAGAAUGCUACGGUGAAUACGUUCCCGGGCCUUGUACACACCGCCCGUCACACCAUGGGAGUGGGUUGCAAAAGAAGUAGGUAGCUUAACCUUCGGGAGGGCGCUUACCACUUUGUGAUUCAUGACUGGGGUGAAAUC